UACGGAGGGUGCAAGCAUUAAUCGGAUUUAUUGGGCGUAAAGGGCGCGUAGGCGGGUAUAUAAGUCAGAUGUGAAAUCCCGGGGCUCAACCCCGGAACAGCAUUUGAAACUAUAUGUCUAGAGGGUAGGCGGAGAAAACAGAAUUCCACAAGUAGCGGUGAAAUGCGUAGAUAUGUGGAAGAAUACCGGUGGCGAAGGCGGUUUUCUAGCUUAUACCUGACGCUGAGGCGCGAAAGCAAGGGGAUCAAACAGG
rnacentral:rRNA from 1 species